UACGGAGGGUGCAAGCGUUAUCCGGAUUUAUUGGGUUUAAAGGGUGCGUAGGCCGACUUUUAAGUCAGCGGUGAAAUUUUCCGGCUCAACCGGGACAUUGCCGUUGAAACUGAUAGUCUUGAGUGUAAAUGAGGUAGGCGGAAUGUGUGGUGUAGCGGUGAAAUGCUUAGAUAUCACACAGAACUCCAAUUGCGAAGGCAGCUUACUGGCAUACAACUGACGCUGAGGCACGAAAGUGUGGGUAUCAAACAGGAUUAGAUACCCUGGUA
rnacentral:rRNA from 1 species